rnacentral:rRNA from 1 species
GUCUACAGCCAUGCUACCCUGAUCUUGGAAGCUAAGCAAGGUUGGGCCUGGUUAGUACUUGGAUGGGAGACCACCUAGGAAGACCAGGUGCUGUAGGCA